rnacentral:rRNA from 1 species
AAGUCGUAACAAGGUCUCCGUUGGUGAACCAGCGGAGGGAUCAUUACUGAGUACUACACUCUCUACCCUUUGUGAACUAUUAUACCUGUUGCUUCGGCGGCGCCCGCAAGGGUGCCCGCCGGUCUCAUCAGAAUCUCUGUUUUCGAACCCGACGAUACUUCUGAGUGUUCUUAGCGAACUGUCAAAACUUUUAACAACGGAUCUCUUGGCUCCAGCAUCGAUGAAGAACGCAGCGAAACGCGAUAUGUAAUGUGAAUUGCAGAAUUCAGUGAAUCAUCGAAUCUCUGAACGCACAUGGCGCCUUCCAGUAUCCUGGGAGGCAUGCCUGUCCGAGCGUCGUUUCAACCCUCGAGCCCCUGUGGCCCGGCGUUGGGGAUCUGCCACGGCAGGCCCCUAAAACCAGUGGCGGACCCGAAGGGCCCUCUCCUUUGCGCAGUAGCAUUCGCCUCGCAUCGGGAGUCCUCGGCGUCCUGCCUCUAAACCCCCCACAAGCCCGCUUCGGCGGCACCAAGGUUGACCUCGGAUCAGGUAGGAAUACCCGCUGAACUUAA